GCGUGCUUAACACAUGCAAGUCGAACGGUGAACACGGAGCUUGCUCUGUGGGAUCAGUGGCGAACGGGUGAGUAACACGUGAGCAACCUGCCCCUGACUCUGGGAUAAGCGCUGGAAACGGCGUCUAAUACUGGAUACGAGUAGCGGCCGCAUGGUCAGUUACUGGAAAGAUUUAUUGGUUGGGGAUGGGCUCGCGGCCUAUCAGCUUGUUGGUGAGGUAAUGGCUCACCAAGGCGUCGACGGGUAGCCGGCCUGAGAGGGUGACCGGCCACACUGGGACUGAGACACGGCCCAGACUCCUACGGGAGGCAGCAGUGGGGAAUAUUGCACAAUGGGCGGAAGCCUGAUGCAGCAACGCCGCGUGAGGGAUGACGGCCUUCGGGUUGUAAACCUCUUUUAGCAGGGAAGAAGCGAAAGUGACGGUACCUGCAGAAAAAGCACCGGCUAACUACGUGCCAGCAGCCGCGGUAAUACGUAGGGUGCAAGCGUUAUCCGGAAUUAUUGGGCGUAAAGAGCUCGUAGGCGGUUUGUCGCGUCUGCUGUGAAAUCCGGAGGCUCAACCUCCGGCCUGCAGUGGGUACGGGCAGACUAGAGUGCGGUAGGGGAGAUUGGAAUUCCUGGUGUAGCGGUGGAAUGCGCAGAUAUCAGGAGGAACACCGAUGGCGAAGGCAGAUCUCUGGGCCGUUACUGACGCUGAGGAGCGAAAGGGUGGGGAGCAAACAGGCUUAGAUACCCUGGUAGUCCACCCCGUAAACGUUGGGAACUAGUUGUGGGGUCCAUUCCACGGAUUCCGUGACGCAGCUAACGCAUUAAGUUCCCCGCCUGGGGAGUACGGCCGCAAGGCUAAAACUCAAAGGAAUUGACGGGGACCCGCACAAGCGGCGGAGCAUGCG
rnacentral:rRNA from 1 species